GCGCACCAGGCGAGAAACCUCCGCAAUGCGCGAAAGCGCGACGGGGUUACCCCGAGUGCCGUCCGCUGAGGACGGCUUUUGCCCAGUGUAGCCAGCUGGGCGAAUAAGGAGAGGGCUAGUCUGGUGUCAGCCGCCGCGGUAAUACCAGCUCUCCGAGUGGUGGGGACGCUUAUUGGGCCUAAAGCAUCCGUAGCCGGUCUGGCAAGUCCCUUGUUAAAUCCAACGAUUCAAUCGUUGGACUGCAAGAGAUACUGCCAGACUAGGGGGCGGGAGAGGCCGACGGUAUUCCCGGGGUAGGGGUGAAAUCCUAUAAUCCCGGGAGGACCACCAGUGGCGAAGGCUGUCGGCUAGAACGCGCCCGACGGUGAGGGAUGAAAGCUGGGGGAGCGAACCGGAUUAGAUACCCGCGUAGU
rnacentral:rRNA from 1 species